UUCCGGUUGAUCCUGCCGGACCCCACUGCUAUCGAAGUGGGACUUAGCCAUGCUAGUCGAACGAACAGAACUAUGUCUGUAAGUGGCAUACUGCUCAGUAACACGUAGCUAACCUACCCUUAGGACGUCGAUAACCCCGAGAAAUUGGGGCUAAUAGGCGAUAGAUGUAUUGUCCUGGAAUGGUAAUACGUCCAAAGGUAUCCCAUACAUGUUUGGUAUACGCCUAAGGAUGGGGCUGCGGCCGAUCAGGCUGUUGGUGAGGUAAUGGCUCACCAAACCUUUGACCGGUAUGGGCCAUGAGAGUGGUAGCCCAGAGAUGGACACUGAGACAAGGGUCCAGGCCCUACGGGGCGCAGCAGGCGCGAAACCUCCUCAAUGCACUAACGUGCGAAGGGGUUACCUCGAGUGCCACCUGAAGAAGGUGGCUUUUCCUUGGUCUAAAAAGCCUCGGGAAUAAGAGGGGGGCAAGACUGGUGUCAGCCGCCGCGGUAACACCAGCCCCUCGAGUGGUGGGGAUGAUUAUUUGGCCUAAAGCGUCCGUAGCCGGCCGGGUAAGUUUCCCGUUAAAUCCAGCGUCUCAAGCGUUGGACUGCGGGAAAUACUGCCUGGCUAGAGAGUGGGAGAGGUCAGCGGUAUUCUGGGGGUAGGGGCGAAAUCCUUUGAUCCCCGGAGGACCACCAGUGGCGAAGGCUGCUGACCAGAACACGUCUGAC
rnacentral:rRNA from 1 species